UUCUCGUGAAUUCUUUUUCAA
rnacentral:piRNA from 1 species